GAUGAACGCUGGCGGCGUGCCUAAUACAUGCAAGUCGAGCGAACGGACGAGAAGCUUGCUUUUCUGAUGUUAGCGGCGGACGGGUGAGUAACACGUGGAUAACCUACCUAUAAGACUGGGAUAACUUCGGGAAACCGGAGCUAAUACCGGAUAAUAUUUUGAACCACAUGGUUCAAAAGUGAAAGACGGUCUUGCUGUCACUUAUAGAUGGAUACGCGCUGCAUUAGCUAGUUGGUAAGGUAACGGCUUACCAAGGCAACGAUGCAUAGCCGACCUGAGAGGGUGAUCGGCCACACUGGAACUGAGACACGGUCCAGACUCCUACGGGAGGCAGCAGUAGGGAAUCUUCCGCAAUGGGCGAAAGCCUGACGGAGCAACGCCGCGUGAGUGAUGAAGGUCUUCGGAUCGUAAAACUCUGUUAUUAGGGAAGAACAUAUGUGUAAGUAACUGUGCACAUCUUGACGGUACCUAAUCAGAAAGCCACGGCUAACUACGUG
rnacentral:rRNA from 1 species